rnacentral:tRNA from 1 species
CAGGGAGACAACACGAUGAUUUUGAUGCCUGAGUGCUUCUAUUCUUAGGCCGAAAUCCUGUCACCUUAGGUCGAUCGGUACCUCAGCUUUGAAGUCAAGGAUCAGCAGCAAUGUUGAUUGCUUGAUGGAGAUUUUCAGUUCCUAAACUUUGUCUAGGUCACACCCCAAAAGGGAUGAGACUCCUGGGCCAUUAGCUCAGGUGGUUAGAGCGCACCCCUGAUAAGGGUGAGGUCCCUGGUUCAAGUCCAGGAUGGCCCAUUCGGUGUUGGGGGUUUAGCUCAGUUGGUAGAGCGCCUGCUUUGCAAGCAGGAUGUCAGGAGUUCGAGUCUCCUAACCUCCACUGACCGAACUUGAUUCCCAUCUCCAAUUUUUUGGAGUUGAGCUCGAUUGGAGUGUGAUUUAGAUGUGUCCGCUGGAUGACCCCAGCUUCCUGUCAUUCCAAGUUUUAGGUUAAAGCCUUGAAUUUGGUUGAUAAGAUGCUGGGCUCGAAUCAAAUGAUCAAGCAAUUGAUGGUUUGAUUUGAAGUUCUAGCAGAACCUUGACAACUGCAUAGGUGAGUCUGGAAAAAACAAAGCAUCUUACAGAUGCAUUGUUUUGAAUCUGAUCUUCUGAAAGGGAGAUUGGAUCUAGAACAAUGAAAAUUCUUUUGAGCAAGAGCCGAGACUCUUGAGCGUUCUUUGAUUGGUGUCGAGCCAAUCAGAGUUUGAUCUUGUUUCUAGCAAUAAAAACUUGAGAAUCUGCUUUCAACGGCGGUAAGCGUUCAAGAGGUUAAUU